rnacentral:lncRNA from 1 species
AGACAAUGCAUAAAAACACUUAGCACAGUCAUUGGAGUGGAGACCCUGCUUAAUAAUCAGUAUUCAGCAGUAUUUGUUCAAAGAAACCAGAAUGUGUCACCUCAAAAUAUGCCUCUUUGACAUAAAUGUUUUUUGAGCUAAAGGCAAUUAAGAAGCAGACAGAAAAGCUCUCUGCCUUCCUUCUGUUUGCCUAAAAGCAGGGCAGAGAAUUGCAAAGACAAAAGGUCUUCUACCCUCCCCCUAUUUUGCACCUAAAGCCAGGAUGUAAAUUCUCCUUUACAACCUUUUAUCAGCUCAGCAACAAAGCCAGGAGAUUCUGCCAGUGGACUUCACUCCCUUCAUUUCCCAUAAAUUUGCCUUCCCACAUUUUCCCACUUCUAGGAUCCUGGGACAGCUUCCCCUUUGUCUUGUCACUUCUCUGAGCUGUAUUGUUCUUUGUCGAAUAUACGACAUAAGCCAGACUCUUAAAGCCACUGCUUUGAGUUACUUUUCUCCCACGGGAUGUGCACUGCAUGCAUUAAUAUACUUGCUUGUUUUUCUCUUGUUAAUCUGUCUUUUCUUGUGAGUCUGUCCCAACUACAAACGUAUGAGGGUUGAGGAAGAGUUACUUUUUUCUCCCAUUCAUAGUCUAUACAGCGGCGGUUGUUACUGUCUUGGCAGGCCUCUUAAGGCAGCACUUCUUCAACUGCAGUGUGCCCAUGAAUCACCUGAGAAAUGUGUUAAAAUGCAGAUUCUGGUUGAGUAGAUCCAGGGUAGGCCCUAAUAUUCUACAUUUCUGAAACCGAGGGCUAAUCUUUUUUUUUUUUUUUUUUUUGAGAUGGAAUUUUGUUCUUGUUGCCCAGGCUGGAGUGCAACGGUGCAAUCUCAGCUCACCAAAACCUCCGCCUCCCGUGUUCAAGUGAUUCUCCCCCAUCAGCCUCCCAAGUAGCUGGGAUUACAGGCAUGUGCCACCACACCUGGCUAAUUUUUAUUUUUAGUAGAUAUGGUGUUUCUCCAUGUUGGCCAGGCUGCCUUGAACUCCUGACCUCAGGUGAUCUGCCUGCCUUGGCCUCUCAAAGUGUUGGCAUUACAGGUGUGAACCACCACGUCCGGCUACUGAGGGCUAAUCUUUUAAGUUGCUUGCACCUUGUUGAUUUUUGCUGCUUGUUGAUUUUUUAAACCCACAUAGCUUAAAGUCAGGCUGCUAAAUGCUAUAACUUAGCCUUCACUAGCUUCCCUAUAAAUAACACUCUGACAUAUAUGUCACCAUAGUAACAAUUGCUUAAGUUGUCUUUCAGGAACUUGGGGCGGCCCCUGUCCAGUUCAAACCAGCUGAGACCACCAACCCUCUGAAUGCACCUGCAUGGAUGUCGGAAAAGUGACACUUGCCAUCAGAGGGCCAAAACUCCACCCUCAGAUCAUGUUAACACUGCUAUUUUCUGACCAUGUGUCCUAAGAAGAGCCGUGAGCCCAGACUGCACUUGCUCAGAUCACCAGUUACCUCACUUCUCCCCACCCUCAAUCACCUUUCCCCACCUUAGACCAUCCUAAUUCUUUACUCCAUAAAUAUCCCUAAGCAUUAUCCUUGAGGAGGUAGAUUUGAGAGCUGUUCUCCCAUCUCCUGGCUGGGUUGCCCUGUGAGUAAAUCUUUUCUCUUUUGCAAAACCCAUUGUCACCAUGACUGGCUUACUGUGUGCAGGCAGAAUGAACCUGGUUUGGUGUCAUAUCUACGAGCUCCCAGACAAUGCCAGUCCCACUGGACUAAGGGUCUCACUUUGAGUAACAAGUUCUUAAAAGUCUCCUGGAUCAAGUUCUUCUGCCCUGACCGUCUUUUUCAUAAUAGUCUAGAGCAAGACUUCACACACAAGAAAUGUUGGACUGUCUCAUAGGCAGAAGGGUUUGUGGGAAAAGCAGUGAGUCCAUUUGAAAGCUACAAAAGUAAAGUGAGCUCUCAUCAUGUCACCAAUAAGUGUUCUGUUUUUAAUUUUCAGAUAAAAAUCAUAAUAAAGGAAAUAAUGGAAGAGGAGACUUAUGUUACUGGGGACAUCUAACAUAAUUAUUUUCCUGAUUCAGUGGCAUGGUUCAGUCUUCCAGGAGUUCUGCUACAGAGAAGAGAGUAACCCCCAUCCAUCAUGGCCAAAGCACCCAGUCAGGCUCCGCUCUGGAUCCAGCCCGACAAAUGCAACCCUUGAAUAGGGUUUGUGCAAGCAAACUGGAUGACGACCGAAGAAACCCUGUCGCUUCUGAGAAGACACCCAAUCCAAGAAUGGUCUUGCUCUGUUGCCUCAGGCUGGAGUGCAGUGGCGCAAUCACAGCUCAAUGCAGCCUUGAACUCCUGGACUCAAGCAAUUCUUCUGCCUCAACCUGCCAAGUAGUUGGGACUACACAUGUGCCAUCACACUCAGCUUUUGUCUGUGAUCCAUGUGGAAACCAUUCUUCUGUGUAUAGUGUAAGG